rnacentral:rRNA from 1 species
AGAGUUUGAUCAUGGCUCAGAACGAACGCUGGCGGCAGGCUUAACACAUGCAAGUCGAACGCGUGUAGCAAUACACGAGUGGCGCACGGGUGAGUAACGCGUGGAUAUCUGCCUUUUGGUUCGGAAUAACCCCGGGAAACUGGGGCUAAUACCGGAUGGUUCCUUCGGGAUAAAGAUUUAUCGCCAAAAGAUGAGUCCGCGUACGAUUAGCUAGUUGGUGAGGUAAUGGCUCACCAAGGCGACGAUCGUUAGCUGGUCUGAGAGGACGAUCAGCCACACUGGGACUGAGACACGGCCCAGACUCCUACGGGAGGCAGCAGUGGGGAAUAUUGGACAAUGGGGGCAACCCUGAUCCAGCCAUGCCGCGUGAGUGAUGAAGGCCUUCGGGUUGUAAAGCUCUUUUGGCGGGGACGAUGAUGACGGUACCCGCAGAAUAAGCCCCGGCUAACUUCGUGCCAGCAGCCGCGGUA